UAGGGAAUAUUGGACAAUGGGCAACCUGAUCCAGCAAUGCCGCGUGAGUGAUGAAGGCCUUAGGGUUGUAAAGCUCUUUUACCCGGGAUGAUAAUGACAGUACCGGGAGAAUAAGCCCGCUAGCUACCCGUGCCAGCAGCCGCGGUAAUACGGAGGGGCGUAGCGUUGUUCGGAAUUACUGGGCGUAAAGCGCACGUAGGCGGCGAUUUAAGUCAGAGGUGAAAGCCCGGGCUCAACCCGCAGUAGCCUUUGAGACUGGAUUGCUUGAACAUCGGAGAGGUGAGUGGAAUUCCGAGUGUAGAGGUGAAAUUCGUAGAUAUUCGGAAGAACACCAGUGGCGAAGGCGGCUCACUUGGACGAUUGUUGACGCUGAGGUGCGAAAGCGUGGGGAGCAAACA
rnacentral:rRNA from 1 species